rnacentral:lncRNA from 1 species
GAGAAAACAGCCGAGCUGCAAAAUAGAUCAUUGUUUUCCGUUAGGACACCCUGACCGACAGGCCACGAUCAAGCGUAAUGGAGAGAUGCAAGCAUUGGCACCUGCCCUCUCAAGCCGGAUUUUUCAAGCCCAGCAUGGUGCACCUCUAUUGUUGGCACAUCAGUGCCAACAGUAGAGGAAUUAGGAGAUGAGGACAGGCCAGUGCUAUAAUUCUUCCCAGUCCAUUAGCUGUAAUUAGGGUUCUGCGUUCUCAGAUAAACCUGAUAAACUCCAAAAAACACUAGCCGUUAAAAUUUUGCUGAUUCAGAUUCAUUUGAAAAACUCAAUUUUUCGGUCCCCCACCAGUCUUUAUAUUUCCCGGAAUCUUCGAACAAUUUUUGCAAUUCUCCUCUUAUUGCAGUGUCAACUUCCGUUGCCAUGUAGCCCCUUAUAAUAAAAAUGAGGUAGGCCCUCUACGACAGUAGAUGAAUACGGCGCUCUCAUAUGAAAAUACUGCUUUACUAAAUUCACAAAGUGCUGUUUUCUACCUUUCAUUUGCCUCAUCGAAAAUGCCGAAAGACUCCGAACUUUGCGUACAUAAAUGGAAGCUCCAAAUUGAUGGUUCAAAAAAACAAAACAAAAAAAAAACACCCUCUAAUUUUGCUAAAAAAAAAAUUAAAUUCAAGAACGCAGGAUCCUAGCUAUAAUUUGUGCAAGCUUUCAAGAUCGAGGAAAUCGGUGACCGUAUUGUCAUAUUCAUUGUGGGCACACCACAAUGAAGGCGGAUCAAGUGCUAUUUUGAAUAGCAUGUAGUUCUGCACCAGAGAUCCCAUCCCCAGUUCACAAGCUUAGCCCAUCGCAGCAGUUUUAGAAAAUUGAAGUAUUUUCGGAACCCAACCGACACUUUUCUGAAGACUGUAACACAAUGCCUUAUCCAUCUUUCUUUUCAUGUGCUGAUGAGCGGACAUGCUGUGGAGACUGCACCGAGGCGGGGCAGCCCGCCCGUGUUUCCAAUAAAUGGGGUUUUCAUCCAGGAGGUAGGCUGGUAAUGCAGCAAUAACAUAAGUGGGGUGGUUGCAUAUAACACUGGAAAUAUUAACAGAAGUUUUUUAUGGCAAUUUAAAAACAGUGCUGCAUUUUCCAGUCUACACCACGGUUUUCCCCCCGUCUGCAA